rnacentral:tRNA from 1 species
GCCUGGGUGGCUCAGUCGGUUGAGCGUCCGACUUCAGCUCAGGUCACGAUCUCGCGGUCCGUGAGUUCGAGCCCCGCCUCGGGCU